GGGGUUGUAGCUCAGUGGCACAGCACCUGCCUGGCAAGCACAAGGCCCAGAAUUCAAUUCUCAGCACCA
rnacentral:tRNA from 1 species